ensembl:lncRNA
CUGCACUGAGGGGGCGCGCAGACUGGGCCCCGGCCGGCGGGGGUCGCAGGUCGCUCUGGACCAGGAGAUGGGGGCGAGCCUUCAGGGAGGGCAGACGGAGGCUUCUCCGCGGCCGCGGCCGUCGGAGGUAACGGUGCUGACGGUGGCCGGCAGUGCAGCGGUGCGGGCCUUUGCUGCCGCCCAGCGUGGUCGGCCGGGGGCGCCUCGGGAGGCAGUGAAAGCAUCGGGGUUCCUGGGAAGCACGCCCGGGAGGCGAGCACCGCCAGUCGUGUCAUGGCAGUUGUGAUAUUUAUCUUGCUAUGCAUCACUGCCAUAGCGAUAUGCAUUCAUCCACAGAGGUGGCUAUACCAAAAGAAUGAUUCAGAUGUCUCAAAACCUGGAGACCAUGCUGAGACUGCUCUGAGAAGUGAGCUCAACUUGCAAAAUGCAGUCAGUGAAAGUCAGAAGGAGUGUUUCUUCUGAUCAGCAGCUGUGAUUUCCUUUCUGCUAUGACAGUGUAGCCUUCAUGAGAUGGAACUCAGGACCUUGGGCUUGGGAGGCAGGCAUCGUGUCACCGAGCUACAUCCCCGGCCCACGUCAUGCAUUUCUUAAAGAUUUACUCAGAUGUUAAUGUUGAAUUCUUCAGAUUACCCACAAAAUACCCCAGACAUGUUCGUGAGUAUGCAUCCCACAAAUGCACAUGGAUGAAGUGCAGAGCUGUUCAUCGAGGUCACAAGGGAGAUCUCAAUGAUCCCAUGAUGCUGUAAUGCUCCAGGACAAGACCACACAUGCGGGAGAUGCCCUGGGAGGAACCAAAUCUUCAUCUGCAUAGUUCCUCACUGUUCUUAGAUUUCCGCUGCCCCCACCCAGCCUUUUGUUACACCUUGUUUAUCCCAAUGUGAAGUACUGAACUCUAUAUUUCACUUGUUACAUCUAUUUCCCCAUGUACUGAAUAAACGGUGCUGCAAGCUAGGGGUCUUUUGUCUUUGCCACCCAGAGCAGCACUGAUCAGACCCAAAGCUCAGCUUCUUCUCAGUCUCAUUUGUCUACCUUUCCUGUAAUUCGCCGUGUGCUGCCAUGGCUCACAGGAGACUAGGACUUACUGCAGAGGUUCUGGUAAUGUCCCCUUCCCCUGUUCCCUACACAAAACCAGGUGAUGGGUGGCUGAUUAGUGAGCUUGGACCCUGGAUCUCAAGGUCCCCAAAGCCAAAAGUGUACUGCUUGGCCUUCUAAGUUAGGUGAACCUACACGUACCUGCUUUUUGCACAGUUGAUGAGUUCUUUUCCCCUGUUGCUUCAAAUUGAAAAAUUCUGACACAUAAAUAGAACUCUAUGGCAUUCUGUACAAUAGGCAUAUGUUCUCAGUCCUGAAAUUGUAUAGUGGAAUCUCAUCAUAGUUUUGAGACCACAUGACUUUGCAAUCUUUAUUCUAAUAUGGAAGAAUGUAACUUAAAUAGUCAACAUGAUGCUUUUUUAUAGAAUUUAGGAAGAGCUGACCAUUUGCCAAUAUAACCAUGUAAGUAUUAAUUUAAUAAAAUAAAAUGAGACAGGAAACCACUGG